rnacentral:lncRNA from 1 species
AUCACAGAGAAUACCUUUUGAAAUGACGCAGUAUUUUACGUGCAUGAAUGAUUUACAGAUGCCUGCAGGAGCAUUGCCGUAGGAUGCUCCAAAAAGAAUCUUUGAAGGUGUAUGAUGUCACAGUUCCCAUUUCACAGAUGUGGGCACUGAGGCCGGCACCGAAUAAGUGACGGGCAGCACAGAGAGGCCAGAGGUGUGGGGAGAUGCCAGGCAGGUGACCCCCAACUCCCCGAGCGCAGGACACUCUCAUCACUCCACCGAGGGCGGGGGAGAGGUGACCUUCCUUAAGGUCGGGUGGCGAAUUCCCGAGUCUGUCCCUGGGAGGGAGUGGCUCCCAGGAGUGGGACGUCCUGGCCGCUGCUUCUAAUGAGCUUCGCCCUGGGGUUUCCUCAGCGCCUCCUGCCCGCCCGCCCUCCUGCUCCACCGGCCCAAGGAUCCUGGGCUCCGGGACAAGUGGUAAUUGGAUAAAGAAUCAAGCCCACACUUCUUGCUGCUUGUCCUUUGAUCUGGGAAAGCUCCUGCGUCUAUGGAGUGAGAGCCCUGGUCACAUCUGGAGGAGAGUGUGUGUGUGUGUGUGUGUGUGUGUGUGUUCACACGCGUGUGUGCGCAGGUGAGGAGAGAUGGAGGCAAGGGACGCGGUCUCUCCCAGGAGCUCCACUGGGUCCUUGUUUGGGUGGGGGGAGCAGGGCCAGCAGAGGAGACGCUGGUCGGGCGCCUGCUUUUCCUUCCAACAGCCCCUCUCAGCCCCGUCCACGUCAGGGCUGGGAUGGGAGACUCUGCUUCCAUCUCCGGGAGCACCCCCUUCCCUGACCCCCCACCCUGACGCUAGCCUCAGUGACAUUCCAGCGGGAACAAUGUAAAGGAAUCAACAUCUUAAACUUUCAGAACUCCUUUCUCUGUCGUGUCCCAGACGCCGGGGAACUCAGACGCCCACGUGUCAAUGGCUGGUCAGACAAGCUGGCGAGCCGGAAACUCGCGCCUGGACGGGUGGUGGGGACGCUGUUCGCUCUGGCCCUUCCCUCCCUGCAAGCCUUUUUCUUCGUCCCCACCUCCCUCCGCCCUGGUUGUCACCUCAUUCUGUGUGUCGAUUCCACGAUCCAGAUCCCUCCUCGUGCUGGUCGCCCGGGGGACCCCCAUUCCUCCCCACGUGUCACCUGCAGCGUGAACCCAUCUCUCUCCCGUCGAGGGCUGGUCCCCAAGCCCCCUGACUCUAGGCCGGUGUCAUGACUCCCUCGUCAUCCACGGAGUCCGUGAACGUGGAUCAUGUGACUUCUGAGACGAGGUCAGAGAAGGCCAGGCGGCUUCAGUCGGGCCCUUGGAACAGUGGCUUCCUGACAUCCUCUUGGGACCCUGCUUCUUAGCACUUGGUCACCCUCAGAGGGAAACCAAGGCCCAUGGAGGCCCCGAGGGGAAGGUACUCGGAUGGACAGGCCCCGAUGUGCCGUCUGGACCGGGCGCCAAGGAAGAUGAUUCCCGUGGAUUCUGGCCCCAGCCAUUCUGUACCUUUGAGUCUUUCCAGCCGAGGUUCUAGAUAUUCCAGGAGAGGCACAAGCUCCUUCCGAAUUCCUGACACUCCCCCCUCCCACCCCGCACUGUGCUUAAUAAAGUGGUUGUUUUACACCAAGUUGGGGCAGCUGGUUACCCGGCAACAGAUACUGAGCCGGUUCCCAAGUCUCUAUCUCGAGGCCACGCCUGCCCUCCGAGGUCUGAUACAUCCAUCCCACUGCCUGGUGGACUUUGCGAAGGUUCUGAGCACUUGGAAUCUUCCAGAGUUGCCCUAGCCCCAAGUGUCCUGAAGCUACCCUUUCUGCCUCCACGUUCGAAACCCCUGUUGGUAACCUGAGCAGAACUGGACUUAAGGAGGUUCAAGGCCAACACACAGGAGAGGGAGCACGGAGUCCAGUUUCUGGCAGUUCAUUUACAUGCUCACCCGACUCAGGGACACAUGGUGGCCACUGGCCUUAAUGAGAUGUCCGGCCGUUCAAGGAAGAAGCGUGACCUUGGCCUCCACGUAUCGCCCUCUCACAACCGGAUUAGCCCCCUGCCAGGACAGCGUGGAGAUGAGUUUAGCCAGGAGCAGGGUUCGUAAAGCAGCCUUGGAAGUACCUGCUGGGGCAGCGAGAGGCCUUUAAGGCCGUGUGCCCGGCUGCUCCCCUCGGCUCCUUGGCCGUCUGCCUCUCCCUGGCCCACGGUUUAUUUUGCCUGUGACCCGGUUCAGCUGACAAGUUUGAAUGAAGCCUCAGAAGGAAGCUUUCUGGGUCCGGUGGCAGCCAGCACCUGGCAGGUGUUAACUUUACAGAGGUGUGUCUCUCUCCGACUUUCAGACACACAGCCGCCUGGAGGACCUCUAAAAGGAUGGAGGUCCGAGUCAGAAGGCUGUACCCACUGUGUCCUGCGCUUCUGCUCGGUGCGUGUGGCAGAUUCUGCUCCUUCUGAGCAUGUGGCUUCUGUGCCUCCUGUUCCCUUGAGGUAGGGAAGGCCACGUGACAUGUUUGGUGACAGAAUAUGAGCAGGGUGAUGCCUGCCGCAUCCUGAAGGAGGCAUCAGAUGGCCCGUGUGAGAUUCACCAGCCCGGUGGGGGAGCAAGGCUGAGCCCUGGAAGGCCCCCCGGCCCCCCAGGGUGCUCACGGGAGCCAGAAAUAUACCUGACCUGUCUUCCAUCCUUUUAUUUUCAACAUUCUGUGAUUCUACGAGGAACAUAGAGUUUGAUUUUUUUUUUAAAGUCACAUCUGACAAUCUUUGUCUUUUAAUUGGAAUAUUUCAUCCAUUUACGUUUAAUCUAAUUACCAGUGUAUUAGUUUAUAUCUACCUUUGUACUACAGGUUUUAUAUUUGUACCACCUGGUCUGUGUUCCAUUUGAUUUCCUUUCUUGCUUUCUUUUGGAUGAACCAAGGAGACACAGUUAUUUCACUUCCUCCACCACUAGUUUGUUAAACUGUCUUUUACUGCUCUUUUAGCUGUUGUCCUACUAGAGAUUACAACGUACUUCCUUCAUUUAUUAAAGACUAAAAUAAAGGAGCUAGAAUACUUUUCCCACGUCCCAGGCAAUUCCAGCCCUUCAGAAAAGGGCACGUUUUUACAGUCCUACUUGUCUUGACAAUAACUCUUCAUAACAUGUUCUGUUUUAAUUUCUAUCACUCGAUGCAGUUACUAACAUGUGCAUGUAU